UUAAUUGAAACCAAAAUAUUGGUAAAUUAUUGUUAAUAAUUCUUUUGAGAUUAAUUUCUCCAAUUAAA
rnacentral:tRNA from 1 species